rnacentral:rRNA from 1 species
GUCUAUGCCCGUGCUACCCUAAACAAGCCCUAUCCCAUCUGAUCUCGGAAACAAAGCAGGGUCGGGCCUGGUUAGUAUUUGGAUGGGAGACCACCAGGUGCUAUAGGUG